AGGAGGUCCCAAUGCUAACGUACCUCAGUCUUUCUUUUCUCCCAGGACCGGAUAGUUCCAGGCCAUCAGCCCAGUCGUUCACCCCAGGAAUCCUUCAGGUAGAGAUCAGUCGAGAUGGAGAAAGGUUAUCCCGGGGAUGGUACUUCCGCCCCUCACCCAGAACCUCCCAUGAACUAUGGGGGGAUAGCCACGGGCCAGGGCCCCCAGCCAGGCUUGUACCCCCAGCCCCCAGGCACC